rnacentral:rRNA from 1 species
AUUGAACGCUGGCGGCAGGCCUAACACAUGCAAGUCGAGCGGAUGACGGGAGCUUGCUCCUCGAUUCAGCGGCGGACGGGUGAGUAAUACCUAGGAAUCUGCCUGAUAGUGGGGGACAACGUUUCGAAAGGAACGCUAAUACCGCAUACGUCCUACGGGAGAAAGCAGGGGACCUUCGGGCCUUUCGCUAUCAGAUGAGCCUGAGUCGGAUUAGAUAGUUGGUGAGGUAAUGGCUCACCAAGGCGACGAUCCGUAACUGGUCUGAGAGGAUGAUCAGUAACACUGGAACUGAGACACGGUCCAGACUCCUACGGGAGGCAGCAGUGGGGAAUAUUGGACAAUGGGCGAAAGCCUGAUCCAGCCAUGCCGCGUGUGUGAAGAAGGUCUUCGGAUUGUAAAGCACUUUAAGUUGGGAGGAAGGGCAGUAAGCUAAUACCUUGCUGUUUUGACGUUACCGACAGAAUAAGCACCGGCUAACUCUGUGCCAGCCGCCGCGGUAACAC